CGGGGCGACUGGAACGCAACAUGGCGGCCUGAGGGCAGCGGUGCCGGCCCGGGCCCGGCCCUCGCCCGCCAGCCCCGGCACCGGCGGGACGGCGCGGAAGGCACAUGAUGACAACCCUGACUCCCUUUCACUGGUAUCUGAAUUUUUGGCCCUGACUAUUUAUGAGCUGAUAAAAGAAAUGGGAUAUUUCAGAGCAACAAGAAAACAUAAUAAUAAAGUUUCCAGCCUCUUUUUCUUGGAUGUAAUGAGCUGGACCACAUCUCAAAAAUCCAUGAAGUGAUAGGCACUCCUGGUAACAAAACUCCAAAAUUUCAAGCACUUGCUUAACACAGGUCAAGAAUUUUGAGUUUUGAAUCCUCCCUUUAAAGAAAGGAAAAGGAAAGUCUUCUCUUGUGCACAAAUUAAAGGUUUCUAUUUCCUGUGUGCAAUGAUAAAAUAUGACCCCAAUGAGAGAACUGCUGCCCAUCAAACCUUAAAGCACCUUUAUUUUCAAGAACUCUGGCAAGUGACUUCAAAUCACUUCAGUUUUGAAGACUAAAGUCAAAAGGUGGAUCUUACUCAGUUUGGCACAUACAAUACUUCAAGGAUAUUGAUUUCCUAACAAGUUCUUUGCUGUUAAACCUCUGGAGACAACUUACACUUCUCUGGCUGUUGGAUGAAUAGGCAAACUUGUGUUUCCCAUCUGCUUUAUAGUUAAAAUACACCCAAACUUUAAACUACAAACUGGCAAGGAUGGUCCCACCCUCAUUCUUCCAGCUAAAAUUCCAUACUGAGAUUAUCUGUGUUCCGCUUACUUUUAAUUAUUUUUUUUAAUGUAGUAGGAAAAAUAUUUUAUUAAAAGUUGCAUCUACAGUAGAGUUCGUAAGUUCCUUCCAGGUAAGUUAUUAGUACCCUGUUUCUUACUAAAAUAAUUUUUUUUCCAUAUAGAACAGAGUGUGGUAUGGACAAUUUAAGCUUCUAGGUGAUUGCCCUAAUAGUAAAGAAGAGGCUGAAAAAAGAAAACCCACACACAUUCCUUGUGUGCUGCUGGACUACAAUUUGUGGCAGGGACAUACCCUGCCAACAUGGAUGUGAGUAGCUGCUGUUGUUCCCCUGAUGCUGGAUAUUGCAAUUCUUCCCCUACUGGUUUGUAUUUUUCCAGCUGAAGGAAAAAAAAGUCUUUUAAAAAGUUACUGCAUAUUUUUUCAGCUAUGUUAUUUUGACUCAGACCAUAUGAAGCACUUAUAUAGAAGUCGUCUACGGGGAGAUAACUACAUGAGUUUUCAGUGAUGAGGUUUAUCUGUAUUUUAACAGUUAAACCCACUAUGUUAAUAAAACAAAACUUCUGAAAAAUAAUCCUGCUCAGUUUCAGUAUUUUCCCCAUUCCUCCUAUUUUAGAAGAAGACAGAUAAGAAUUGUAAAGCACAGCUACAUCUUGAAUAAAGUAGGGAACUAAUUCCCAGCUUAUAAACUGAUCUGGCAGCUCUCUACACACUGGCUGCAUUGCAAGGAUAAGACUUAGUUAUAAGCUACUGCAGUUGCUUCUCCCCAAAUGUUCAUUCAUUUCCUGAAAACAAAUCACUUCUCAUGCCAAAAAAUGUCUUAAGUUUACUUGUAAUUAAAAAAAUUCUACCCAGCUUUAUUGUUGGAGAGCGGGAAGGGCAUUAACUUGUGCCCACAGAUACAGUGUGUUUCUUGAGGCAAGUUCAUGGUUCUGGGCAAGCAGCCUGUGUUCUACUCUGCCUGCAGGAUUCUACAAAUCCCAGUUAGGAAUGUUGCUGCAUAAGAAAAAGGGAAGCAUAUGAUGGACACUUCUAGCUUCUGUCAUUAUGGGGCUGGACAUAGAGGAUUAGUCUUUGCAAGAACUACUGAAAACAAGUUAAGUGGUGUGUUGACUGAUUAAAAAUGACAAGUGUUUAGACAAGCAACAUUAACCUCUGCAAAUCCAUGGAUAUCCCCAUCACACUUAUCAGUUUAAGACCAUUGAAUUAUAAAUGAGAUGCCUGAUGUAAGACAGAGGAGUCUCAGAAAUGCUGCUCCAAUGUGUUAACCCAGUUUCUGACUGACAAGUCAGGAAGUGUGUACAGCUACUGUUGUGGGAUCUUCCCAACUCCAAAUGCACGGGACUACACGAUAACAAAAUCCUUACCCCAUGAAGGUGCCUGUCUGUGAAAUUGCUGCUGUAUGAUGUAUUUGAACUGCAGGAUGUGUUUGGAGAUAUACCAUUUAGAACAAGAACAAAACAGUUGUAUUUCACUUUCUAAUUGAAAUUCAUUUCUAUUAAAUAUGAAGCAAUGUUCUAA
ensembl:lncRNA